rnacentral:rRNA from 1 species
UACGUGAGGCGCAAGCGUUGUUCGGUGUCACUGGGCAUAAAGGGCGCGUAGGCGGCGCUGCAAGUCGGUUGUGAAAGCCCCCGGCUCAACCGGGGAAUUGCGUCCGAAACUGCAGUGCUAGAGUUUGGAAGGGGGGAGUGGAAUUCCUGGUGGAGCGGUGAAAUGCGUAGAUAUCAGGAGGAACGCCGGUGGCGAAGGCGACUCCCUGGUCCAUAACUGACGCUGAGUGCGCGAAAGCUAGGGGAGCAAACAGG